rnacentral:rRNA from 1 species
AUUGAACGCUGGCGGCAGGCCUAACACAUGCAAGUCGAGCGAGCGGCGGACGGGUGUGUAAUGUAUGGGGACCGCCCGACAGAGGGGGAUAACUACUGGACACGGUGGCCAAUACCGCAUACUAUCGGAUCACCCAUAUGGCAUUAGCUAGUAUGUGGGGGAAAGUCGCACCUAGGCGACGAUCUCGAGCUGGUCUGAGAGGAUGAUCAGCCACACUGGGACUGAGAGACGGACCAGACUCCUACGGAGGGAGCAGUGGGGAAGAGUGCACAAUGGGCGCAAGCCUGAUGCAGCCAUGCCGCGUGUAGGAAGAAGGCCUUAGGGUUGUAAAGUACUUUCAGCGGGGAGGCGUAAUCCGCAGAGGAAGCGCCGGCGAACUCCGUACCAGCAGCCGCGGUAAUAC